CCUACGGGAGGCAGCAGUGGGGAAUAUUGCACAAUGGGGGAAACCCUGAUGCAGCGACACCGCGUGAGUGAAGAAGUAAUUCGUUAUGUAAAGCUCUAUCAGCAGGGAAGAAAAUGACGGUACCUGAGUAAGAAGCCCCGGCUAACUACGUGCCAGCAGCCGCGGUACUACGUAGGGGGCAAGCGUUAUCCGGAUUUACUGGGUGUAAAGGGAGCGUAGACGGCAGGGCAAGUCUGGAGUGAAAGGCGGGGGCUCAACCCCCGGACUGCUCUGGAAACUGUACGGCUGGAGUGCAGGAGAGGUAAGUGGAAUUCCUAGUGUAGCGGUGAAAUGCGUAGAUAUUAGGAGGAACACCAGUGGCGAAGGCGGCUUACUGGACUGUAACUGACGUUGAGGCUCGAAAGCGUGGGGAGCAAACAGGAUUAGAUACCCUGGUAGUC
rnacentral:rRNA from 1 species